rnacentral:rRNA from 1 species
UUUUGUGGGGUGCUCGAGUGGCGAACGGGUGAGUAACACGUGAGUAACCUGCCCUUGACUUUGGGAUAACUUCAGGAAACUGGGGCUAAUACCGGAUAGGAGCUCCUGCUACAUGGUGGGGGUUGGAAAGUUUCGGCGGUUGGGGAUGGACUCGCGGCUUAUCAGCUCGUUGGUGGGGUAGUGGCUUACCAAGGCUUUGACGGGUAGCCGGCCUGAGAGGGUGACCGGCCACAUUGGGACUGAGAUACGGCCCAG